rnacentral:rRNA from 1 species
GACGAACGCUGGCGGCGUGCUUAACACAUGCAAGUCGCACGGAAAGGCGCUGCAUUUGUGGGGUGCUCGAGUGGCGCACGGGCGCGUAACACGUGAGUAAACUGACCUUGACUUUGGGAUAACUUCAGGAAGUUGGGGCUCAUCCCGGAUAGGAGCUAUUGCUGCAUGGUGGGGGUUGGAAAGUUUCGGCGGUUGGGGAUUGUCUCGCGGCUUGCCAGUUUGUUGGUGGGGUAGUGGCUUACCAAGGCUUUGACGGGUAGCGGGCCUGAGAGGGUGACCGGCCCCAGUGGGAAUGUGAUACGGGCCACAGUACUGCGGGAGGCAGCACUAUGGAAUAGUGCACGAAGGACGGAAGUCUGAUGCAGCAACGCCGCGUGCGGGAUGAUAGCCUUCGGUUUGUAGGCCACUAUCGCCGUUAACUAAGCGGCAGUGACGGUAAUAGAUAAAGAAGCACCGGCUAAUUACGUG